AUCGAACGCUGGCGGCAGGCCUAACACAUGCAAGUCGAGCGGAGCGGCGGACGGGUGAGUAAUGCCUAGGAAUCUGCCUGGUAGUGGGGGAUAACGUCCGGAAACGGGCGCUAAUACCGCAUACUAUCAGAUGAGCCUAGGUAGGAUUAGCUAGUUGGUGGGGUAAAGGCCUACCAAGGCGACGAUCCGUAACUGGUCUGAGAGGAUGAUCAGUCACACUGGGACUGAGACACGGUCCAAACUCCUACGGGAGGCAGCAGUAGGGAAUAUUGGACAAUGGGCGAAAGCCUGAUCCAGCCAUGCCGCGUGGGUGAAGAAGGUCUUCGGAUUGUAAAGCACUGUAAGUUGGGAGGCGUUACCAACAGAAUAAGCACCGGCUAACUUCGUGCCAGCAGCCGCGGUAAUUC
rnacentral:rRNA from 1 species